rnacentral:rRNA from 1 species
UACAGAGGUGGCAAGCGUUGUUCGGAAUUACUGGGCGUAAAGGGUGCGUAGGUGGCGCGCUAAGUCAGGUGUGAAAUUUCGGAGCUUAACUCCGAAACUGCAUUUGAUACUGGUGUGCUUGAGGACUGGAGAGGAGACUGGAAUUCAUGGUGUAGCAGUGAAAUGCGUAGAGAUCAUGAGGAAGACCAGUGGCGAAGGCGGGUCUCUGGACAGUUCCUGACACUGAGGCACGAAGGCCAGGGGAGCAAACGGG